GAUUAUCCAGCUUGCUGGAUAUGACAGUGGCGCACGGGUGCGUAACGCGUAUGCAACCUACCUUGAUCAGGGGGAUAGCCCGGAGAAAUCCGGAUUAACACCGCAUAAAAACACAGGAUAGCAUUAUCNAAUGUUCAAAUAUUUAUAGGAUCAAGAUGGGCAUGCGUGACAUUAGUUAGUUGGCGGGGUAACGGCCCACCAAGACUACGAUGUCUAGGGGAUCUGAGAGGAUGACCCCCCACACUGGUACUGAGACACGGACCAGACUCCUACGGGAGGCAGCAGUAAGGAAUAUUGGUCAAUGGAGGCAACUCUGAACCAGCCAUGCCGCGUGCAGGAAGACAGC
rnacentral:rRNA from 1 species